AAAGCGGCAACAACCGAAAGGGAAAUUUUUAGACGCUUAAAGUUCCAAGUGUCAGGCAAAGUCGCCGCACGGCACUAAAUUGGAGGCGUUUGCCAACCGGGUCGCCUAAUCCUAAGGAGCUCCAAGGGAAAAGAGGGGACGUGCUGAUAAGAUGUAGUUGGACGCGCGGCUAGGGUUCGGGCUUGAGCCUCUAAUUUUAGAUUAGAUUUCACAAGUUCAACGUCGGAUGUGGUUGAAACUGCAGCCCGAAUGGAAAAACGCUAGCGGCGAAAACCAGCGCGAGUCCGCACGGAGCCAGUUGGUCCGG